rnacentral:rRNA from 1 species
AUACGGAGGGUCCAAGCGUUAUCCGGAUUCAUUGGGUUUAAAGGGUCCGCAGGCGGGAAAAUAAGUCAGUGGUGAAAGCCUACAGCUCAACUGUAGAACUGCCAUUGAUACUGUUUUUCUUGAGUAUAGAUGAAGUGGGCGGAAUAUAUCAUGUAGCGGUGAAAUGCAUAGAUAUGAUAUAGAACACCGAUUGCGAAGGCAGCUCACUAAACUAUUACUGACGCUCAGGGACGAAAGCGUGGGGAGCGGACAGGAUUAGAUACCCUAGUAGUCC